rnacentral:misc_RNA from 1 species
ACAAACUUGGUCAUUUAGAGGAAGUAAAAGUCGUAACAAGGUUUCCGUAGGUGAACCUGCGGAAGGAUCAUUAUUGAACAAAAUUGAACAGACUGCUGCUGGUUCUUAUGAGCAUUGUGCACGUCUGUUCUCUUUUUUUAAUCUCCUGUGCACUAUGGGUGGGAUCUCUGAAGAAGAAAAAUAAUGAGUGUUCAAUGUGUAACCUCUGUCUGAGAAGCUUGUUGUGUAUUUAUAAAGCAUGACUCUUCUUGUGAAUUCUUUUUCAGAGACUCUGCCAUAUGUUUAUUAUCCUAUGAAAAAUACCAGAAAUUUUAUUGAAAUAUAUAUCAUGCAUAACUUUCAACAACGGAUCUCUUGGCUCUUGCAUCGAUGAAGAACGCAGC